UUGUUAAAAAUGAAGAUUCUUAGCCCUACUCUCGGGGUUUCUGAUUCAGUAGGGCUAGGGUGGGGCCCAGGAAUCUGCAUUUUUAC
rnacentral:miRNA from 1 species